GUUAAAUUCUGCGGUUUUUAAACGUCAAUUUUCCCUACCCUCCCAUGUUUUCAUUUUUAAACAUCUACGAAUUUACUAUAGGUUGCUUUUGCUUUCUAGGUGGAACACGAAAGGAAUGUUACCGGAAAGGGAACCUGGCCCGGAAGGGGUCUGCCUAGGGCCAGCCAGUAGUGUGUGGCUUCUUGACUUUGUGUAGGAAAAAUUUCACAGCGUGAAUCCAGGUGAAUUUUAGAGGACGGUUAUUAAAGCUGGGGACAGUGAGCCUGGCCAGUGCGGGUCGGUGGUUGAGCGUGAAGCUAUGACCCGGGAGGGCCUUGUUGCAUUCUGGGCCAGGGCACUGCCCAGCAGCAGGCUGUCCCCAGCCGGGGACCUGCAGGAGGCAGCCAAUGGCAGUCAAAGUAAUGUAAGUUGCUACCCACAAGACAAACGUGAGUUUAAAAAUACAGAGGGAAGGUGACAGAGUGGGCAAGUUUCACAGAAGUCUUUUCCUGCCUUUCCUCUGGAUCUCUGCUGUCAUCUCCAUCCAAGG